CGUGUGCCUCUACAGAGCCACGACACAGACGUUCCAGGAGCAGGCCCUGCUGUCAGUUAUGUUAGCAGCGGGCAGCCGCUUCGCGUGAGUCAACUAAUCCCACAUCCAGUUGGUUUUGCGCCGGGAUCUCGCGGCGAAGGCGGCGACUUCUCCUUACCAGAGCAGCGAACAGCCGGCCAGCCGCUUCUUGGACGGAAUCGGGCAGCCAUGGAGGCGCGUGGCAAGAAGUGGGUUGGAGGCGCCCGGAUUCGGCAAGGCUGAGGCUGUGCCCGUUGGCAGCCUAUUCAGCCGAUUCAGGGCUGAUGGACUCUGGUGAGGCCGUGAGGGGAGGCUUUGCCGGCCAGGAGCGGUCAGAGAAAGUCUGUGUCAGUUCUACGGAUCGUAUCCACGAAGCGUUUUAAUGAGAACCAACCUAUCCCCAUAAGAAAGACGCCAGCAUCAUAAUUUUGAAGCAAAACGGCUUUCAAACAGAUUCCAUUCAGCAUUUCUCAAGAUUCGGUGAUGAGUAGGUAUACCCAGAUAUUUGAAAGGUAAAGCACCAGCUUCACAACCAAAAAUCAGCAUAUAUUGUUGUUCAAUAUCCUUUGCUUUACCAAAACAGAAGAUCUUGUUGGAGAUAUGCCCAAGAGGAAAUAAUAAAAGUGUUUAUUGUUAUAUCUUAAUGUUCAUGAUAAAUGUUUACAUCCCAUGCUAUAAUUAUAUUAACCAGAAAUAUUAAUACUUGUGUGUUUUGUAAACAUAAAGGAGUCCCUAGUAAGCCUCUUAUUAAACUAGCUUGUUGAUUAAUAGAUGAUCAUGGUUUCCUGAUCAUGAACAUUGGAUGUUAUUAAUAACAAGGUCAUAUCAUUAGGUGAAUGAUGUGAUGAACGUACACCCAUAGUAAGCGUAGCAUAUGAUCAAGUCAUUUAGUUCUUUAUGCUUCAAGCUUUAAUAUGCAUAGUAACUUAAUCCUUCGACCAUGAGAUCUUGUUAAUCACCUACACCGGAUGGAUGCUUUGAUGACACCAAACACUACUGCAUAAAUGGGUUGUUAUAAAUGUGUCAUUAAGUGUUCGGAAAGUAUAGGGUUGAGGCACUUGUAUCAAUAGUGGGAUUUGUCCAUCCUAAUGACGGAUAGAUAUACUCUGGACCCUCUCGGUGGAAUGAUAUCUAAUUAGCUUGCAAGCAUGUGACUGGUUCACAAGGGAUAUCAUAUCACGGUACGAGUAAAGAGUACUUAUCAGUAACGAGGUUGAACUAGGUAUGGAGAUACCGACGAUCAAACUUCGGAUAAGUAAAAUAUCGCGAGACAAAGGGAAUUGUUAUUUUAUGUGAAUGGUUCUUUCGAUCACGAAGUCAUCGUUGAAUAUGUGGGAGCUAUUAUGGAUCUACAGGUCCCUCUAUUAGUUAUUGAUCAGAGAGGAGUCUCGAUCAUGUCCGCAUAGUUCUCGAACCGUAGGGUGACACACUUAAGGUUUGAUGUCGUUUUAAGUAAGAUAUGGAAUAUAGAAUGGAGUUUGAAUGUUGUUCGGAGUCUUGGAUGGGAUCCAGGACAUCACGAGGAGUUCCAAAAUGGUCCGGAGAAUAAAAUUCAUAUAUAGGAAGUCACUUUCCAAGUUUGGAAAUGAUCCGGUGCAUUUAUGGAAGGCGCUAGAAUGUUCUAGAACCUUCCGGAAGAAAUCACCAUGGAAGGUGGAGUCCCGGAUGGACUCCACCAACCCUAGCUGGCCGAUCAAAGGGGAAGGUGGAGUCCAUUGUGGACUCCACCAUCAUGGCCGGCCAUAGGGGAAGGAAAGGGAGGAAUCCCACUUCCCCUAGGUUUCACCCAUAUGGAAGAUUUUGAGUUGAACUCUUAUUCGGAUUUUGGGCAAACCCUUGGGGGUUCCACCUAUAUAAAGAGAGGGAGAGGGAGAGGGCUGGCCAACUCUUGAGCCGCACCACCAAGGGCACCCAAGGCCGGCGCCCAAGUGCCCCUCCUCUCUUCCAAACCCUAGCUACUACCUCCUCCUUCUUCUCUUGCGGUGCUUACGGCGAAGCGCUGCCGGAGAUCUACACCACCACCGUCACCACACCGUCGUGCUGGCGGGAUUCCGAGGAGGAUCUACUACAUCCGCUGCCCGCUGGAACAGGGAGAAUGACAUCGUCAUCAACACCGUACAUGUGACCGAGUGCGGAGGUGCUGCCUGAUUGUGGCACCGCCAAGAUCUUCUACGCGCUUUUGAAAGCGGCAAGUGAUCGACUACAUCCACCACGAGAUUUAUCUCGUUAACGUUUAGCGAUCUUCAAGGGCUGCCAAAUUAGCUCGCUGGAGUUCGCCGUUCCGAAGCAGUUCAUCAACGAUUCCAUCGCCAGCAACAUCGAGGACGAGCUCCACUGGAUCUCGCGGAGCCACUGUCUCGGCCGAACACGAACCCGAGGAGCACUAGAACGUCCAACAGAGCACAGGGGACCAUCGACGCAGAGUCGCCCCGCCGCACCCCAUCCUCUAUUUUCAUCAGGCAGUGGGAUCCUCGCAUCGACAAGAACGCGAACUCCUUACCCGCCAGCGUCGAGACUUGAGUUUGUGUGAAGAGCGACGUGUUUUGUUGAGAGAAGUGAACGAUCUUCAAUUACCAAAAAGGCAAGUGACAUUCAAAUCCUAUCUAUUUUAUUAUGCAUUAGUGUUUUUCAACUAGUAUGCAUGGUAGGAUUUUGUUUUCAAAAGUUAUGCUAUGCUUAUCAAUCCUAGUAGUGUGUAGCCACCCAUGAACCCUUGCUAGGCUACUUAGUUUGCCUAGCAAUAACAAAAUGCCACUGCUAUUUCGAUUAUUCUUGAUUGUGAGUAUUGGGAAUUAAAAUUUACAACCUUAAUGAAACACCUGGGUCGAUUUGGUAUUGCUUGGUGGGCGGCUACUCAGGGCCUCAUGACUCCUGUCUAGUACUUGUCAUGUGGUUUUCUUCGCCUGAGGGUGCGUAGAUGUUGAGUGGCUACUCAGGGCCACAUUGACUCCUGUCUAGUACUUGUCAUGUGGUUGUCUUCGCCUGAGAGUGCACUUGUGGAUGGCCACCCAGGAUUAAAGA